CUCACUGCAAUGCCGGAUCCUUAACUCACUGAGCAAGGCCAGGGAUUGAACCUGAAACCUCAUGCUUCCUAGUCGGAUUCGUUAACCACUGUGCCACGACCCGAACUCCAAUAAUGUGGGUGUUUUAUAUUUUGCUUUGCUUUGAUCUUUAGAAUGCGAAGACAGCUGUUUCACUCAAGACCAAAAGAUUGAGGACUGGAGAGAUCUGUUAUCAAGAAACUGACUUGACCACAAGAACAAUUUACAGGUGGUAAACAUGAUCGCCUUAUUUAUAACAAGUGUAAGCCAUACUCAAACUACUUUUUUGGUGUGUUUUUUAAAGAAAGAUACUAAAACAGAAAGGAGCUUGGAACUAUUGCCACCCUUGCCCUCCAUGUUCCUAGAAGCAUGA
rnacentral:lncRNA from 1 species